GGACGCCCAUCUCCAUCGCAGCAGCCCGCGCCUCCUUGAGCGAGAGCGUUAAAGCGCUCAGAGGAUGUUAGGACGGGGUGGGUAGAAAACCUGACUCUUCGUGUCUUCUGCGUUGCACUGAGGUGGAUUUUUACUUUUGUCUUAUUUCAAGCAGAAGUUGCCGCCCUAACUUCCAAAUUUGGGGACUGAACAUCGUUCACCGAAUACACUUUGUGAUGCUGGGCUUGAAAUCUACUGUUUUCCUGUCUUAAAAGAGAAUUCUGUGACUCCAUGGAAGACAUCUGAAUUUUGUUAGCAAGGAGUUCUUCUGUAGCUGCACGUUCUCUCUCAACUGCUGCUGCCAGCAAGUUUUAGGUGAUGAAGUACCUGCUGCCAGAGUUUCCCCUGAAACACACAAAGAAGAGUCUUUUACUUGUGAUUCAGUUGUUUCAGGAGUUCUUGACUGGCCAAUGUGCAAGGAUUCAUGUAAGCUGCUUUUCACUUCUUCUUCUGGUCGUUGUGAUUUUGCUGGAGGUUUUGAUACCACUGGACUCUUCUGAAUGGUCUGGACAUCAGUUGGCGAGAGAAAGGCACUGAAGAAAUUUUCAGAUUCAUCGACCACAGUCCUCCGAACUGGCUUUGUGAUUGCUUUAGGAGAGGCUAUUGGUGGACUCUGAGGUUCAGUGUUUGAUUUCAACCCCCAGGUUGAAGUAUCCCAUCCUCCACUGACAGGGGAACUUAUUCCU
ensembl:lncRNA EOGT-DT EOGT divergent transcript